CACUCUCUCUGCAGCUGAGUAAUGGCAGUCUGUGAUGAAACAGAUGAAACGCCGACUUCUGAAGGGCUGUCAACUCUCUUUUUGUUACGAACCCAUGGGUAUUUCUUCAACACUUUUAAAGCUAGCUGGACUCAAGACAACAGUUUGAACCCCAGGAAACUGAAUCUAGGGCAGAGUUGGUUGGUGUGUUUCCAAGACAUUUAUAUGAACUUGUCUCUGAUUGGCUGGGCAACCAGAUGCAGAAUUCUGUUUUCUGAAGCAGAAUAUUCCACAGACCUGGGCUGCAGGCCGUUUCCUCUGCUGAGAUCCUUGCACAGGAGAAAUGGAGAAGAGUCCUUUGGCAGCCUCGCUGCUAAUCCUGUGGCUUCACAUUGGCGGAGUGGGCAGCGUAUCGAACGUGGAGCAGAAUCCUCCAUGGCUUCAUGUUCAGGAAGGAGAGAACACCAAUUUCACCUGCCGUUUUCCUUCCAGCAAUUUCUACUCUUUACACUGGUACAGAUGGGAACCUGCAAAACCCCCCAUGUUCCUAAUUUCAGUUACUUUAAAUGGGGAUGAAAAGAGGACAGGACGAGUAAGAACCACUCUUAAUACACAGGAGGGUUAUAGUUCCUUUUACAUCAGAGGAUGCCAGCCUGAAGAUGCAGCCACGUACUUCUGUGCCAUGACACAGUGCUUUUCAAACAGCUGCAGCCCAUACCAAAACCUGCAGCUGAUGCUGCUCUGGCACCAGCAUGUGUGGGGCACCGGAGUGGUACAGCUGGUGAAGCUUUGACUCUUGGUUUCAGCUCAGGUCCUGAUCUCAUGGUU